rnacentral:ncRNA from 1 species
UUAUAGACGUUGAUAAAGGAGUAGUAAUGGUGUAAAGCCUGUUUUGUAGAGAGCUGACGGUCGGUGCAAGUCAGCCAGGUCCAUCAUGAACUCGCCUUUUAGUCGCCGGCAUGAACUGACAGUAGUGCCAGCCGUAUUCCGCGUUAAGGAUGAACGAAGCGAGUGACUUGUCACUAAUGUGGGUGGUACCGCGGGAGAACAUACAUAUCCUCUCGUCCCUUUU